rnacentral:lncRNA from 1 species
CUCAUACGAGAACCCAUUUGUACCUGCUCCCGCACCCGAACCGUCCUGAAUCACGCACCCAUGCGACACGUGAAGCUGAGAGGGAGACACACGUGGAAGAUACAUCCAAGAACCUCCUCCCCCCGGCGGAGAAACGGUGGAUGAUAGGUGAUGAGGCCGAGGAGCAAAGGCGGAGACCAUUGGGUUACGUAAAAGUGGAGACGCUGAUCCAAGGUUAGAGUAUUUUGCGGUAGCGUUUCGUGUAGCUUGAAGCUGAGCGCGUUUGAGUUGCUGACGCUCUUUCUUGUGAGCGUUUUGGUGACCGCCCAAAGCUUGAGAGUUACCAAACUCCCUGCAACAGUACUGACACUCGUACUUACGUUCUCCUCCUCCUCCGCCUCGGCUUCGUACACCACCACCACUUCUUCCGGAGGAACCCGCCGGAAACUCGUUAUGCUCCGGCGAGUCAGAUGAUUGGUUAGGUUUCACCGUCUGUUCGAAGAAAUCUUCUUCUCCAUCGACGCUGAAUCCUUAUUUACUAUCGCACAAACGUAUCAUCACCACCUCUAGUCACAACCAUUUAAUCAUUUUAAUUAACAACUAGUAUCUUCUGGCCCGUGUACGUUUUAUGCAUGCACAUUGCUCAUACGUUAAUACCGAACUAAUGUUAUAUGUAUACAAGUUUAAUACGUCGGUUCCCAGUAUAUAGUCACAAGGGCUUUCCGGGAUCUUAAUUGCAAAAAAGGAUUUCUUAAAAGUCUAUAUGAUACCAAUAUUGGCUACAUGAUCCCUACAUCAUAAAAUUUCCAACCAAAUUGUGUUAGAUUAGUGGGAGUAGACUAACAAUACAAUAGACCAAAUUGCAAGGAAUUGUCAUUUCUUACUUUCAUUGUUGUUAAACGAAUGUCUAGGAAACUUUUGAAAUCUAAAUUAAUAAACUAGUUUUCUAAACUUUGAUUCUAAAUGAGUAUCAUAGAUGUAGCAACUAUAAUAGUAUUGACACCAAUAUAAUUUGGUUGAUAAUGAUAUGCUUAUAUGGAAUCAAUACAUAAUAUAAAAUAGAUUGUGCAUAGACUUCAGGAUCAGGAUUAGCAUUGCAGCAAACUUGUAAGAAUUUUUCUUUUAAAAGAGUUUUCAUACCCACCUUUGUAUUCUAUUGGCCACUAAAAAUGGUGGAUAGAAAGUUUUCAAAUUAAAGAUCCCAUGGAUCUGUAUAGUGGAAUUCUAUAAGUUUAUAGUUUUGUAAGUUUGUACUAUAUAUUAAAUCGCCUUUUCCGGUUUAACCAUCUGCUGUGCAGGAAUUUUAGUAGCAAAAUAAAUUAUAAUAUGUCAUGAUUUUAUUAUUAAUAUUAAAAAUAAUUUACAUAUUUGUUUCGAGAUUCUUUUUCUAUAAUUAUGUUACUCUACCAUCAUGAAGCAUAUAACCAUAUCUUUUUCUACAAUAAUGUUUAAAUAUUAAUUUAGACAUUUCAUUUUAACUUCAGUUAGAUCGAAGAAUCCUUGUCUAUUGCCGUAUAUCUGACAACUUUUGUCCUAUUGUUUGUAUAUAUUUUUCACGACUUCGGUCUUAUUGUUUAUUUCUAGUCUCAACAAUACAAAUUACAAAUAAUUUUUGUAGAAUUUUUCUUCACAAAUUGGUUAAGCAUUUUGAGACGAACUUCUUUUGGGUAGGAAACAUACAUUAGGGUAGGAAAUAGACACUUUUUAGACGUACAGUUAAACAGAAACCAUAAUCACUAAAAAUAAAUAAAAUCAACUCAAAUGUAGGAAAAUAUACACGAGCUAUAUUUGGAGGGGCAUAUGAUUAAACUAAACGUUAAUGACCAGCUGGGGAAAGACUCAGAUGCAAAUCCAACCCUAAUCCAUCAUCAAAAGUGGAUCCCACUUCUCUUGAAAACCCAUUCACCAAUGGUCUCGGUCCAUGUGCCUGAACGUGUCUCAUCUGAGCCCCGUUAAACCCAAAUCCAGACUCAUACGAGAACCCAUUUGUACCUGCUCCCGCACCCGAACCGUCCUGAAUCACGCACCCAUGCGACACGUGAAGCUGAGAGGGAGACACACGUGGAAGAUACAUCCAAGAACCUCCUCCCCCCGGCGGAGAAACGGUGGAUGAUAGGUGAUGAGGCCGAGGAGCAAAGGCGGAGACCAUUGGGUUACGUAAAAGUGGAGACGCUGAUCCAAGGUUAGAGUAUUUUGCGGUAGCGUUUCGUGUAGCUUGAAGCUGAGCGCGUUUGAGUUGCUGACGCUCUUUCUUGUGAGCGUUUUGGUGACCGCCCAAAGCUUGAGAGUUACCAAACUCCCUG